UGGCUGAGAAUAGGCGGUGGAUUGUAAUUCCAUUUAUGGGGUAAGUUCCUCUCUUUACAU
rnacentral:tRNA from 1 species